rnacentral:rRNA from 1 species
GGCCACUGCUAUCGGAGUUCGACUAAGCCAUGCGAGUCCAGGGGGGCUUUGCCCACCGGCGGACGGCUCAGUAACACGUGGACAACCUGCCCUCGGGAGGGGGAUAACCCUGGGAAACUGGGACUAAACCCCCAUAGGCCAUGGAGGCUGGAAGGCGCCAUGGCUGAAAUUCCGCAAGGAGCCCGAGGAUGGGUCUGCGGCCUAUCAGGUCGUAGUGGGGGUAACGGCCCCACUAGCCUACGACGGGUACGGGCCCUGAGAGGGGGAGCCCGGAGAUGGACUCUGAGACACGAGUCCAGGCCCUACGGGGCGCAGCAGGCGCGAAAACUCCGCAAUGCUCGAAAGAGCGACGGGGGGACUCCGAGUGCCUACGCUUUGCGUAGGCUUUUCCCGAGCCUAAAAAGCUCGGGGAAUAAGGGCUGGGUAAGACGGGUGCCAGCCGCCGCGGUAAUACCCGCAGCUCGAGUGGUGGCCGCUUUUAUUGGGCCUAAAGCGUCCGUAGCCGGUCUGGUAAAUGCCUGGGUAAAUCGUCUGGCUUAACCAGACGGCUCCCAGGUAGACUGCCAGACUUGGGACCGGAGGAGGGAGAGGGUACUCCAGGGGUAGGGGUGAAAUCAGCAGAGCAUCACUCUGAUGAUGUGAAUUGCUCUGCAAGUCACAAUCCUGUAAUCCCUGGAGGACCACCGGUGGCGAAGGCGCUCUCCUAGGACGGGUCCGACGGUGAGGGACGAAAGCCAGGGGAGCAAACCGGAUUAGAUACCCGGGUAGUCCUGGCCGUAAACGAUGUGGACUGGGUAUUGGGAUGGCUACGAGCUGUCCCAGUGUCGUAGGGAAGCCGUUAAGUCCACCGCCUGGGGAGUACGGUCGCAAGGCUGAAACUUAAAGGAAUUGGCGGGGGAGCACCGCAACGGGAGGAGCGUGCGGUUU